AACCAUAAUUCUCAAAAGCUUCACACACUCUUGAUCAAGACAGUGUAAAGCAAAACCAAUUUAUGGUGCCAACAAAAGCUUCAUCAAAAGAGUUCAACCACAAUUCUCAAAAGCUUCACACACUCUUGAUCAAGACAGUGUGAAGCAAAACCAAUUUAUGGUGCUAACAAAAGCUUCAUCAAUGGAGGGCAACUACAAUUCUCAAACAUUCGAAGCAAAUUCAAGACUAUUUGAAGCAAAUUCAAUUUAUAUGGUUCAUCCAAACCUUCGACUACUACAAGGUGUGGCUUGCAUCACAAUCUCUUACUCAACAAUGUGGAAGCAAAAUUUGUAUAUGUUGUCUCUCCCACAUUUUCAAAUUUCUAGUUUCCCAAAAAAAAAAAGGGGAAAUUCAACAAAAG
rnacentral:lncRNA from 1 species